rnacentral:rRNA from 1 species
CACGGGGGGAGCAAGCGUUGUUCGGAAUCACUGGGCGUAAAGGGCGUGCAGGCGGUCAGGUAAGUGGGAUGUGAAAUGCCCCGGCUCACCCGGGGACCGGCAUCUCAUACUGCUUGGCUUGAGUACGGGAGAGGAUGUGGGAAUUCCUGGUGUAGAGGUGAAAUUCGUAGAUAUCAGGAGGAACACCAGUGGCGAAGGCGGCUUCCUGGACACCAACUGACGCUGAGACGCGAAAGCGUGGGGAGCAAACAGG